AAAUCUUCCGUUUCUCCGCGAGCGAGCUUCUUACCAUCUUAUCUUCCACGUUACACUCUUUUGUCUCGUCUGUUGCAAGAAUCCUGCCCCGCCAAUUUUCUUCCGAACAAACGACGCCAUCCGGUAAUCUCUUGCACGGUGGCGCACUGCUCAGCUCCGUCGUAGGGGAAUGGUGAAAUUUGACCGCAAAAGAGUGGGCCAGACGGUCAUGAGCCUUGGCGGGAACGGUGUUGGCCAAGUUUUGGUCGCCGUGGCGGCGGCUCUCCUCGUCCGUCUUUUCUCUGGACCUGAACCUGCUCUUUUGCCGGACUAUGACAUCGAGCUCGAGGACGGGGAGAAGGAAGAUGGAGACAUUGAACUCUGUGAAGAACCUCCAGCCUCCGGGAAAGUUAUGCCGGUGACAAUCCGGUGGUGCAAUAUCUCGUGCUCUCUCUCUGAGAAAUCUUCUGAAUCAGUGAGAUGGCUUCUUAAGAAUGUUAGCGGAGAAGCGAAACCAGGAAGAUUAUUGGCAAUAAUGGGUCCGUCAGGUUCAGGAAAAACAACGUUGCUCAAUAUUCUGGCUGGUCAGCUAGCGGCUUCACCACGGUUACAUCUCUCAGGCAUUAUAGAUUUCAAUGGAAAGGCUGAUUCAAAUAAGAGAGCUUACAGGCUGGCAUAUGUGAGACAGGAGGACCUAUUUUUCUCACAGCUAACUGUGCGAGAGACACUGACACUUGCUGCUGAACUUCAGCUCACUGAGAUAUCUUCUGUAGAAGAGAGGGAAGAAUAUGUUAACAAUCUGCUCUUGAAACUAGGUUUGGUAAACUGUGCUGAAUCAUGUGUUGGUGAUGCAAGAGUUCGGGGGAUCAGUGGGGGUGAAAAGAAACGCUUGUCUCUUGCUUGUGAACUGAUUGCCAGCCCAUCUGUUAUAUUUGCCGAUGAACCAACAACAGGACUUGAUGCAUUCCAGGCUGAAAAAGUGGUGGAGACACUGCAACAACUUGCGAAGGAUGGGCACACAGUAAUCUGCUCCAUACAUCAACCAAGAGGUUCUGUGUAUAGCAAAUUUGAUGAUAUCAUAUUGUUGACAGAGGGUGCUCUUGUCUAUGCUGGUCCUGCUCACGAGGAACCUUUGGAAUACUUCUCUAAAUUUGGGUAUAAUUGCCCGGACCAUGUGAAUCCAGCUGAGUUUCUGGCAGAUCUUAUAUCAAUUGACUAUAGUUCUGCAGACAGCGUGUACUUUUCUCAGAAGAGGAUCUGUGGUCUUGUUGAAUCAUUCUCACGAUACUCUUCAACAAUCUUGUAUGCAAACCCAAUUGAGAAAAAGCAGGUCUUGGCCGGUAAAAAUUUCAGGAAAAGUAAGAAAGGAGGUUGGUGGAGGCAAUUCUGCUUGCUCCUCAACCGUGCAUGGAUGCAGGCUUCUCGGGAUGGACCAACAAAUAAGGUUCGAGCACGAAUGUCCAUUGCAUCAGCUAUCAUAUUUGGUUCAGUCUUUUGGAGAAUGGGAAGAUCUCAAACAUCAAUCCAAGAUAGGAUGGGUUUGCUUCAGGUUGCAGCAAUCAACACUGCAAUGGCUGCUCUCACCAAGACUGUGGGUGUUUUUCCAAAGGAACGUGCAAUUGUUGACAGGGAGCGUGCAAAGGGAUCUUAUACAUUAGGCCCAUAUUUGCUUUCUAAAUUGUUGGCUGAGAUUCCAAUUGGAGCUGCUUUUCCACUGGUAUUUGGGGCUAUUUUGUAUCCCAUGGCUCGUCUUAACCCAUCCGUAUCAAGAUUUGGGAAGUUCUGCACUAUUGUCACGGUUGAAUCUUUUGCUGCGUCUGCCAUGGGGCUCACUGUAGGGGCUAUGGUUCCGAGCACGGAAGCAGCAAUGGCAGUGGGACCCUCACUCAUGACAGUUUUUAUUGUAUUUGGUGGCUAUUAUGUCAAUGCAGACAACACACCGAUCAUCUUUCGUUGGAUUCCUAGCGUUUCUCUUAUAAGAUGGGCCUUUCAAGGGCUUUGCAUCAAUGAGUUUAAAGGUCUUCAAUUUGAUUGUCAGCAUUCAUUCGACGUUCAAACUGGAGAACAGGCUCUCGAACGACUCUCGUUUGGUGGAAGCCGUAUAAGGGAUACGUUGAUAGCUCAAAGUAGGAUACUUUUGUUCUUGUAUUAUACCACAUACCUUCUCCUAGAAAAAAACAAGCCCAAGUACCAGCAGCUUGAGCCACCGCCCAAACUAUUGAUCGAAACCUUUGACAGUGACAACUUGCACCAAACCGAACACGAGGGAGAUCUCGAAACCUUUGAUGAUGACAACUUGGACAAAACUCAACCUGAGGGAGAUCUACAAAUGGAAACCUUUGAUAAUGAAAACUUGGAGAAAACCCAACCAGUGGGAACUAAUGAAAACUUGGAGAAAAACCAAGCAGAGGGAGACCUGCAAAUCAAUUCCUUUGACAAAAACAACAUGGAGAAACCCCAACCCGAGGAACCUCCGUCUCUCGAUAAAGUUGAAUCGAAGGACGACAAUACUGAAACACCCCAAAUCGAUCAAAUCCGACCAUUUAUUCUAGAAGAUGAAGGAUGAUGACUUGUGGUUGGACAGCAAUGGAUGAAUUGUGCAUCAUCAUCAUCAUCAUCAUGGCAUCUUUGACUCCAAAGUUUAAACUAAACACUUUUUAACCCAAUUAGCAGAUUUCUCAGGUAGUUUGACUUUGGUAGAAACGGGUCUUCUUCUUCGGAUUGGAUUAUGGUGAUUUGGAAGUCUGAGACGAGAACUUGUGGAAAAAGACAUCAACUUCAUUAUGAUCUGCUGCAUCUUCAUGAUCUCACAGCCAGUAAGCCUCAGUCCCUUUCCCUUCUGUCUACAUCAAAUAAAAAUAUAUCAGUAGUAUAAUCUACAUUUUGAACUACAUCUAAAACAAAUAAUACAUCAUUUCAACAAAAGGAAUACAUUAUAUUUGAUAAAACA